GAUGAACGCUGGCGGCGUGCCUAAUACAUGCAAGUCGAGCGAACAGACGAGGAGCUUGCUCCUCUGACGUUAGCGGCGGACGGGUGAGUAACACGUGGAUAACCUACCUAUACGACUGGGAUAACUUCGGGAAACCGGAGCUAAUACCGGAUAAUAUAUUGAACCGCAUGGUUCAAUAGUGAAAGACGGUUUUGCUGUCACUUAUAGAUGGAUCCGCGCCGCAUUAGCUAGUUGGUAAGGUAACGGCUUACCAAGGCAACGAUGCGUAGCCGACCUGAGAGGGUGAUCGGCCACACUGGAACUGAGACACGGUCCAGACUCCUACGGGAGGCAGCAGUAGGGAAUCUUCCGCAAUGGGCGAAAGCCUGACGGAGCAACGCCGCGUGAGUGAUGAAGGUCUUCGGAUCGUAAAACUCUGUUAUUAGGGAAGAACAAAUGUGUAAGUAACUAUGCACGUCUUGACGGUACCUAAUCAGAAAGCCACGGCUAACUACGUG
rnacentral:rRNA from 1 species